rnacentral:rRNA from 1 species
UGGGGGAUAUUGCACAAUGGGCGAAAGCCUGAUGCAGCGACGCCGCGUGGGGGAUGAAGGCUUUCGGGUUGUAAACCUCUUUCGCUAUCGAACAAGGCCCGCUUAGGGUGGGUUGAGGGUAGGUGGAGAAGAAGCGCCGGCUAACUACGUGCCAGCAGCCGCGGUAAUACGUAGGGCGCGAGCGUUGUCCGGAAUUAUUGGGCGUAAAGGGCUUGUAGGCGGCUUGUUGCGCCUGCUGUGAAAACGCGUGGCUUAACUUCGCGCGUGCAGUGGGUACGGGCAGGCUUGAGUGUGGUAGGGGUGACUGGAAUUCCAGGUGUAGCGGUGGAAUGCGCAGAUAUCUGGAGGAACACCGAUGGCGAAGGCAGGUCACUGGGCCAUUACUGACGCUGAGGAGCGAAAGCAUGGGUAGCGAACAGG